CAAACGGCCCUUUUUAGGGCCACUGAAUUAUUCUGAAAGAGUUAA
rfam:Aedes aegypti strain Liverpool supercont1.94 genomic scaffold, whole genome shotgun sequence.